AUUCGAUUUGCUUACUCCACAGUUGCGCAAAAAUUUCCUUGGUUCCAGGUUCUGAAUACGUGUUAAUCCAGCAUCUGUUUUGACCCUGUAGAUGAAUUUAUCCCAAGAUGUUUAUACAGGGAAUGAGGCAUACCAUUGAUAGUUUGAAUCAAACCAGUAGAGGACUCCACCGUCGAUUAUGGUGUCGAGCAACGGAACUGCAGUGAUCUGGCAGUGUGACUGGUGACCUCCUUCACACCAUUCACGUUCGUCGCUCUGAACCCACUCAGCAGACAAGUUGGCAUAGACAUGUUUACAUCAGCAAUCUUUUCUUUGAGAUAUCUGGUGGCCUUUCGUAACCAUCGAAUUCAAGUCAUCUUUGAGUACACGACAUCUUUUGAAGUUCAUGCCAUCAUGCUUUAGUUUCCCACAUGGGCUGAGAUUAUUCAAAUAAAAAGAUGGUCUCAGGCACAAGAGCAUGAUGUGCUUGCGCCAGUUGCUUUCACACCAAGGCCACGCGGUUGAUCAUCUAAGCGUACCUAUAAAGUUGACCGACAAGGCAGUUGGACAGAGCUACUAAUUAGUAUG